CACGUAGGGCGCGAGCGUUGUCCGGAUUUAUUGGGCGUAAAGAGCUCGUAGGCGGCUUGUCGCGUCGACUGUGAAAACCCGAGGCUCAACUUCGGGCUUGCAGUCGAUACGGGCAGGCUAGAGUUCGGUAGGGGAGACUGGAAUUCCUGGUGUAGCGGUGAAAUGCGCAGAUAUCAGGAGGAACACCGAUGGCGAAGGCAGGUCUCUGGGCCGAUACUGACGCUGAGGAGCGAAAGCGUGGGGAGCGAACAGG
rnacentral:rRNA from 1 species